rfam:Sporosarcina sp. P33, complete genome.
GAACGCCGUAUGCGGUGAAAGCUGCACGUACGGUGUAGACCGGUCGAAAUCCAUGGCAGGAUAGACACGGAAU